rnacentral:rRNA from 1 species
GAAUAUUGGACAAUGGGCGAAAGCCUGAUCCAGCCAUGCCGCGUGUGUGAAGAAGGUCUUCGGAUUGUAAAGCACUUUCAGUUGGGAGGAAGUGCAGUAAGCGAAUAACUUGCUGUUUUCACGUUACCGACAGCAUAAGCACCUGCUAACUCUGUGCCAGUCGCCGGGGUAACACAGAGGGUGCAAGCGUUAACCGGAAUUACUGGGCGUAAAGCGCGCGUAGGUGGUUCGUUAAGUGGGAUGUGAAAUCCCCGGGCUCAACCUGGGAAGUGCAUCCAAAACUGGCGAGCUAGAGUAGGGCAGAGGGUGGUGGAAUUUCCUGUGUAGCGGUGAAAUGCGUAGAUAUAGGAAGGAACACCAGUGGCGAAGGCGACCACCUGGGCUCAUACUGACACUGAGGUGCGAAAGCGUGGGGAGCAAACA